rnacentral:lncRNA from 10 species
CGGCACUGGGAGGAGACCUGGAAGGAGGAGGAGCCGGCCCGGGAGGCUGCUGUGGAGCUGGAGGAGGAAGUGGGGGAGGAGAGGCGCCCUUCUACAGGGGAGAGCUCAGCGUACUUCCGUGAGUGCAGUCGCCGCCUGUCCCGAGACCUGGGCGUCUGUGCAGGGGCCCCCAGCUCCUGAGCCUGGGUCAGCGGCAGCGCUCCUGGACGAAGGCCUCAGGCUGAGCACCUGAGGAGGCGUGGGGGCGGGGGCGGGGAGAUACGGUCCAGCGUCCCAAUCUACCCGCGUCCACGGGAGUAGCAAGGGCACCCACGUUCCCUUGUCCCGCCGGGAACUUCCGUGCGACUGUUGUUUAAAAAUGAGGAAAGCUUUUUAUCAGUUUCUCGUGUUUCUGCUGCUUAGCCUGGCAGGCUCUCACGAACGAAACCCUGUUAAUUAAUGGUCGUUAAUUACACUCCAUUCCACAAACACUGAACUUAAUUACGGAUUUCCAGAAAGCCAGCAUAGCCUCUUGCAAGUGAGGUAUGUAAAGCUUAACUUAGUAGUCAAAGAAAGGAUUCGCAGGGCAAAGAAUUGGCAGUGAUCGUUUUAAAUCAAGUCAGAAUAAUCGAAGCCUUAUUCCCAGUUUGUUAGCUGCGGUUGUAUGAUUUAGAAACACUGAUUUGUUGAUUUAGGAUGUUUGGAUAGACAUAAUUUCAGAGCUGGAAGAAGGACCGCACACCGGUGAAAUAAGGCCCCGCGUGCUUGUUUGCCACUGGUGUGUUUCAUCAAGCCUUGACAACACUGGACUGAGAGAGAGGGCCUUGAGGACAGGAACCUUGACCUUUUUCUUAGUGUUCUUAUUUCUAGCACCUUGCCAAGCAGAUAGUAGUCGAUCAAUAAAAUGUCCAAUCAGUGAAUGAAUAGCAGACGAAAUGAGCAAAGUGCCCAGAGAAGUGACUCUUCCAUAUUUCAAGUGUUUCAUGUGCUACAGAAUCUGUUGAACAAGGUGAAGUUUAAGUGCAUUGUGUGGACUUACAACUUACAAUGGAACCCUUCAAAUGGCACACUAGCAGAAUUCACAUAUAUAAGACUAAGAAAAAGCAGAACCCAGAUGCUGCCAGAGGACCACCGUCAAGUACAACUGAAAACUACAGCUUUCAACACUUCACACCACCUUUGUUUUAUGAUACACCUAUUAUGCUGCAGCUAUGAUGAGGGCAUACAAAUAAAUAAAAGACUUGGUCAUU